AACGCUAGCUACAGGCUUAACACAUGCAAGUCGAGGGGCAGCAUGAACUUAGCUUGCUAAGUUCGACGGCGACCGGCGCACGGGUGAGUAACGCGUAUCCAACCUUCCGUACACUCAGGAAUAGCCUUUCGAAAGAAAGAUUAAUACCUGAUGGUAUGAUGAGAUUGCAUGAAAUCAUCAUUAAAGAUUCAUCGGUGUACGAUGGGGAUGCGUUCCAUUAGAUAGUAGGCGGGGUAACGGCCCACCUAGUCGACGAUGGAUAGGGGUUCUGAGAGGAAGGUCCCCCACAUUGGAACUGAGACACGGUCCAAACUCCUACGGGAGGCAGCAGUGAGGAAUAUUGGUCAAUGGGCGCGAGCCUGAACCAGCCAAGUAGCGUGAAGGAUGAAGGUCCUACGGAUUGUAAACUUCUUUUAUAAGGGAAUAAAGUCACCYACGUGUNGGUGUUUGUAUGUACCUUAUGAAUAAGCAUCGGCUAACUCCGUGCCAGCAGCCGCGGUAAUACGGAGGAUGCGAGCGUUAUCCGGAUUUAUUGGGUUUAAAGGGAGCGUAGACGGGUCGUUAAGUCAGCUGUGAAAGUUUGAGGCUCAACCUUAAAAUUGCAGUUGAUACUGGCGUCCUUGAGUACGGUUGAGGCAGGCGGAAUUCGUGGUGUAGCGGUGAAAUGCUUAGAUAUCACGAAGAACUCCGAUUG
rnacentral:rRNA from 1 species